UACGGGGGGGGGCAAGCGUUGUUCGGAAUUACUGGGCGUAAAGGGUUCGUAGGUGGCCAACUUAGUCAGACGUGAAAUCCCUCAGCUUAACUGGGGAACUGCAUUCGAGACUGCAUAGCUAGAGUAUGGGAGAGGGAAGUGGAAUUUCAGGUGUAGCGGUGAAAUGUGUAGAGAUCGGGAGGAACACCGGUGGCGAAGGCGGGUCUCUGGGCAAUUCCUGACGCUGAGGCGCGAAAGCGUGGGGAGCAAACGGG
rnacentral:rRNA from 1 species